rnacentral:rRNA from 1 species
AUGAAGCGGGGUAAUAGUAAUACAGUUAAAUUAUUGAGUAGUAUACUGGUGCUGGUCGUCUUGGUUUUGUUGACUGGUAGUGUUCGAUCUGAUACAUGCUUGAAUACUGUUAAAGAAGACUCCAAAUUAGGGGCACCCAAUUACUCCGGUGUAAUAUAUACAGUCGACACUACUAGUCCUGAUGCCUAUAGGAAGAUGAUUGCUCGCCUGCGAGAGCUGCUGACAAGGCGCGGGGAAUACCGGCAAGGAGUGCCGAUACUUCCUGAGCAAACAAGCGUGCCUGAUUCUCAGCGGUACAUCUUGCUUGAAAUCAUUGUCGCGGGCACACCAAGAGGUGUAACAUUUGCUAUCGAUGUUACCAACGUUUACAUCGUCGGUUAUCUUGUUGGUAGCACUAGAUACUUCUUUAUGGAAGCUCCAGCCAGGGCAGAGGAGCUGCUCUUCACAGUUGCGGCAACUCAAACUUCACCAACAAGGAGGUCAUCCAACUAUGCCAAGCUGGAACAAAAUGCAGGUGCACCGAGGAGGGCCAUCCCGCUGGGGCUGCCUAGUCUGGCUGACGCCAUAAGAACACUUGUAACCACAAGACCAGAAGAUGCAAGGUCCCACCUAGUAGUUAUCCAGAUGGUUUCAGAGGCCGUGAGAUAUUGGGAAAUAGAGUUGAAUGUUCUCCAAGCUGCAAACAAUGCAAAUCCUUCGUUUCUACCAGACACCCGUAUGAUUGAUCUUGAGAACAACUGGUCAGCCCUCUCUUUGCAGAUCCAGACUAGUGAUGCAUUCGCAUUUCAAAGGCCUAUUACCAUCGGCGAUGAAGUCGCUGACAAUGUUCAGUCAGCAGUCAUAAGAGGCAUGUUUCUGAUGUUGUUCAGAUGCGCUAGGCCGCGUCGAGAUCUGCAGAUGCCGAUGGAGGAAGUUAGACGAAAGCGGUUGAUCGGCCCAGGUACUGAAAUAUUGCGAAGAGAUCUUGGCCUAUCCAUUGAUCCUCCUCCUGUGCAGAAGGAUGAUGACACAUGCAAGCAUUUGGCCGACUCAAGGAGUCGAAUAAUGGGCCGAGAUGGGCUUUGUGUUGAGGUGCAAGGGUUUAACUAUAGUGAUAGAAAUCCAGUUAUUCUCUUCGCAUGCAGGAGCGGUGACUUCGCGAAGCAACUUUGGAACUUCAGAACAGAUGGCCGGAUCGUAUCAUUUGGGAAGUGCUUGGCAGCAUCCGGAGUUACUCCUCGAAGCACCGUGGUGAUACAUGAAUGUGAGACCAUCCAUGAGUCCGCGGUUCGGUGGGAGAUGAGCAACUCCGGGACUCUGUCCAACAGGGCCAGCGGAUUGGCCUUGCAUGCUGCUUCUGGUUCUGGAAGGCCGCUGACGCUGCAGCGUGACAUUAGUUCCAGCUUCCAAGCCUGGCAAAGCACUAAUAUUAUUACCCCAGUUGACGUCUAUAUCCAGGGUGAAAAUAAUCGGUGCAUCUACUACAAUGGUGGAACAAACACUUAUGUAGAGGGAUGUCGCAAUGACUACUCCAGGCAAAAGUGGAGACUCUACCCAGAUAGUACCAUCCGACCUAUAGAGUGGCUGAAUGGAUGCCUCGAGCUUAGUACUUUCGUCGAGCACCCGAGGUAUAAUUUUAUCCAACUUGGGCAUUGCAAUAACCAUCCUGAGUACCAUCGCUGGAUCUUUACUCAGGGAUGCAUCAUGAAUUUAUAUAGCUCGUUGGUGGUUGACGAGGACAGGGACUAUCCAGCAGAAGGGUGGCUCAAGGCAGCGCCCUUCCAAGGUGGCCUCAAUCAAAUCUGGAAGCUUGUAUUUGUAUCAUAA